GACGUAGGGCGCGAGCGUUGUCCGGAUUUAUUGGGCGUAAAGAGCUCGUAGGCGGCUUGUCGCGUCGACUGUGAAAACCCGCAGCUCAACUGUGGGCUUGCAGCUGAUACGGGCAGGCUUGAGUUCGGUAGGGGAGACUGGAAUUCCUGGUGUAGCGGUGAAAUGCGCAGAUAUCAGGAGGAACACCGGUGGCGAAGGCGGGUCUCUGGGCCGAUACUGACGCUGAGGCGCGAAAGCUAGGGUAGCAAACGGG
rnacentral:rRNA from 1 species